rnacentral:rRNA from 1 species
AGUGAACGCUGGCGGUAGGCCUAACACAUGCAAGUCGAACGGCAGCACAGUAAGAGCUUGCUCUUACGGGUGGCGAGUGGCGGACGGGUGAGGAAUACAUCGGAAUCUACUUUUUCGUGGGGGAUAACGUAGGGAAACUUCCGCUAAUACCGCAUAUGAUCUACGGGUGAAAGCAGGGGAUCUUCGCACCUUGCGCGAUUGAAUGAGAUGAUGUCGCAUUAGCUAGUUGGCGUGGUAAAGGCCCACCAAGGCGACGAUCCGUAGCUGGUCUGAGAGGAUGAUCAGCCACACUGGAACUGAGACACGGUCCAGACUCCUACGGGAGGCAGCAGUGGGGAAUAUUGGACAAUGGGCGCAAGCCUGAUCCAGCCAUACCGCGUGAGUGAAGAAGGCCUUCGGGUUGUAAAGCCCUUUUAUUGGGAAAGAAAAGCAGCAGGUGAAUACCCCGCUGUUCUGACGGUACCCAAAGAAUAAGCACCGGCUAACUUCGUG